UAUCUGACGGUGACAUUCAGAGCUAUCAUGAACACUACAUUCCCAGAAUGAAUGAGAUGGUGGCUUUUAACAUGUUGAAAGUCAUUUUGGCUCCGUGUAUAGAGGGUCUCAUCCUCCUCGACCGACUUUGCUACUUGAAAGAGCAGGACAAUGUGUCUCAUUCUGCGCUGGUUCAGCUCUUUGACCCUCUCCAGUCCCCUAGAUGUUAUGCAG